AGAGCCAUUGGAAAGCAGUAGAAGAAGGGCUCCCUCCGGUCCCCUGUUUUGAAGAGCGAAAAAGAGAAAGAAGAGGGAGGUGAGCGAGGCCGGCGGAGAGCCAAUGGAGGAUUGGAGAGCCGCCGGAAAGCUGCGGAAGAAGGGCUCCCUCCGGUCCUUUGUUUCGUUCGAAACAAGGACCAGAGCGGUCCCCUCUUCCGCGGCUCCCUCCUUCGUGCGGCGGCUCCCCGGCCUCCGCCAGCUGGCUGCGAAUGCUGGCCUCGACCUUCCACUCUCUUCCUUCCUCUUCCUCUUCCUCCCCCGCUCUCUCUCUCGCUUUUCCUCUUUUUUCUCGGCGCCGGUCUCGUUUUCGUUGCCGGAACCGUCUCGGACUGCAGCUCGGGACGCUACGAACCGGAUGGUUUGGAACGGUUCUUGAUCGAACUUUCGAUCCUAAGCAAUCACCAAAAGCAAUAUAUGAGACAAACUGGGGCACUCUUUUGGAAAA
rnacentral:lncRNA from 1 species